GAUGAUGAGAUGGUUAGAUAGGAUCACUAACUCAAUGGAAUUUGAGCAAAGUGUGAGCAAUGUCAGAGAAACAGUGGAAGACAGAGGAGCCUGAUGUGCUACAGCGCACAGGGUCCCAGAGCGGACACGACUCAGUGACUGACGGCAGCUGCACACAGAUCCCCAAGGUGAGAUCACCCCAUUAACGUUACUCUGUUACUCGGUGUCUACAUUUAUAUCGUACACAGUUUUCCAAGUGUAUACAUGUAACCCUCACUCAUUAAAAAGUAACUGCAUGCUAUAUUCUGAAUUACAGAUAAACCAUAAUUUAUUCAACAUUUCCUGACAGAAACUCAAAUUGUCUUUAGUUUUUUUGCAGUCACAGACUGAGCCUUAGUAAACUUCCUCGGACAUAGAACCUUACAAACUGGACCCUUGAUUUCACAGGAUAAAUGAACAAAAAUGGCAUUGCUGAAUUUAAUCUCUGUAUUUUUUAAUAGGUGGCUGUAUGCCCAAAAGGAAUAGCAAUUCAUAUUUACAGCAGCAAUGGAUGAGUGCUCAUUGUCUCACCCUCUUGCCAGAUACACUACCAAGGUCUCUGAGAUAAUAUUUUGCCUAUUUGAUAGUCAAAACUGGUAUUUCAUUGCAUUUGUUUGAUUACCAGUAAAAUUUGGAUCUGCACUCUUCUGUUAUCAGGGUUAGACUCAUAAAAAAGAGCAAUGUGCAAGGCCAAACAAUGCAAUCUGCCUCCAAGGCUGGUAGUUAUCCCCACAAGACAGGGGCAAGGUCUGUUGGAUUCUGGGCAAAGCCCACCCUCAGUCAGACAGUAGGGUCUAUACCCAGGGCAUCAGAGAAAGAAAGGAAGACACAACUGGACUUGGAGGUGUGAAUGGUUCAAUAAUAACAAUAAAUAAAUGGAGAGGUAAGUGGGGUCAUUCUUAUUAACUCUCAAAGGCUGUAUCAAAACCAGGUCUUACACGGGAGGGGAUAAGGAACACUGAAAACCAGAUGCUUCUUUUACAGCCUUUGCCCCUCACCUGCAGGGUAAAUAAGAAAGAAGAAAAAGAAAUGACAAAAAGAGAAAGAAAAAAAAAACCCAGUUUCCUUGAGUGAGGCCCAGGCUCCUGUAAGAGGGCAGGGUGUCUGGAGCCUCUGAUACAGGAAAGCAGACAGAGCAUGGGCCUCCCACAGCUCAUCCCACCGCCUCCAACUGCGAGUGAAAUCUGAAGACCAGCCAGAGGCCAGCGUGGAGGGGCCGCCCUCAGCCAAACCACGGCUCAAACCAGAGGCCUGCCUCUGGACAGGUCGUAGAAGUUCUCCAAAAUGUCUUUUUCCAUUUUGAAAAAUGAGAGAGGGGUUUGGAAUUUCUGAUGUGGAAGGCCACUUCCGAUUCUAAGAUUCUAUAAUUCCAAAGAUAAAAUGUUAAUAGUUUUCUGAUAAUUCCAGCUCAUCUCUAAGUGGUAUCCAUGAAAAAGUUGAAAGGUCGUACAAUUUGCAGUCUAGGGUUCAGGUCCCAACCUGCCAGCUAUGUGAUCUUAGACAAGCGCUGUGAUUCCUCUGAGACUUUCCUCAUCUAUAAAAUGGACAAAAUAAACCUCAUAGUGUUGCUAUAAGAUUUAAGCAUUUGAGAGGGUACUUAUAAGGUUAAAACAAACUCAGCAGAACGUUCUUACUAAGUCUGAGACGCUCGUUCCCAUUUCUUCCCUUAGUUUAAACUUCACUAAUCAGAUACUUAGAUCAUUCAUUCUGAAAAUAUUGAAAGAAUGUCUUCUGUUCUAGGCACUGGAGAUACUUUAGUGAAUAAGACGAUGGAGGUCACUGACAUCACAGGACUUGGACCUGAAGAUGUUCUUUUAACAUCUGCAUCAGACAAGGAAAUCCGGACAUGUAAACAUUUUAGCAAGCUACAUAAAAGGUUCCUCUGAAUUUACCCGGUGACUCACUUAACGUAACGACUCCACAGCCAGUAACAGACCACCAGCUGCCCUCUGACCUCUGAAGUAUUGAUCACUGUGCUGCAUACUCAGCUGUUCAUUCAGCAACUGUGGAUUCUUUUACAUGCAACAUGGUACUAGGUCCUUGCUUCUGGCAUCUACAAUCACAUUUGAAAACUUAUAUCAGCCACAGGUCAUUUGCAUCUCUCUUUGAAGACAGUAUGAGUGGAUACCAUUUGAUUAAAGGAGAUACAGGAACUCCCAUGAAGGAGACAUCACUUCUGGCUAGGGAAGCGGAGGCUGCAGCUCUGAUGAGAACCUGCUUCAUCUGGGACACUUUACGUAGAUUCUUGGAUUUGAUGUGGAAUACUGCACAAAGACCUUGGAGGUGGAGACCUUGAGUAAUGGGAAGAAUUAGGAAACGCAGAAAUGAAGUUUCAACUGAGAAUUUAUCCACGGCCCAAUGCUGGUCAGGCACCCAGGUGAGCAGUGUGGACCUUGGAGCAAAGGACUUUCAGCAGGAGACACACACAAAUAAACAGGCAAUUACAACUACGAUAUGGUGUAAGGUGUGCUACGAUAGAUAAAAACACUGGGGUAAUGGGAGAACACAAUAAGGCGUAUUUGUCAGGAUUUGUUCAGUUGCACUUAAGCUAAACUGUGACGGACUGGCUUAUGUCACCAGGAACCUCGGUGGAUCCAGGACUUAAGGAAGCUCUGUGUGUCACCACGUCCUGUAAUUUUGCAGAUGGUGUGUUCUUCCAGAUGAACGUUCUUUGACACAGUGACCCCAGACGCAAGAGGCAGGCUUCCAGCUAGCUCCAGUGGAAGGAAGUUAGGGAGGGACUUUGGCCCUGCUUGGGCCGUUCAGCUUUCCCUUAAACUGUUGCCUAGGGAAAGGGAACUAUGAUUAACACACUGGGUUUAUGCGUCUAUCCCUGUUGGUGGACGGGUAGAGACGGGGAGGGGGGCGGCGGGGUGCUGGGGGGGGGGGGGUUGGGGGGGCGGCAGGGGGUGGUGGAAGAAAUACAUGCUGGGUCACCAAAAACAACGGCUACCAUGAAGAGGCCCUAAAGGGAACACGGGCUGGAACAGAGAACAAGGCGUGUGCACGAUGUUUUUAAGGAGAAAAACAAGUUUACUGAUACAGCUGAAGCCAAUUGUGAACCCCUUGGAUCCCAUUCAUCCCCACAACCCAGGUGAGAUACCAGUAGCCUGAACUUGGUCACUGCUUGCUGGCUUUUAUGCUAUUACUGUAUAAGUAAGUAUCCAUAACGAUAUGUAGUAUUUCUUUCACAAGCUUUCAAAUUUGAUAUAAAGGUAUCAUACUGAAUGUUUUGAUCUAAAAUUUGCUUCCCCUCCACCAAACAUUAUGUUUUUGAAAUUUGUCUAUGUUGACACAUGUGGCUGUACUUCAUUUUAACCACAAUAGAGCACAAGGUAUCCAUGCGGCCUUCUGUCCAUGGACCUCUGGAGAAAGGUCUGAUGGUUAUUUUAUAAAACUAAAGCACAUACCCACCAAUUCACCUCUUAGGUACCACUCAAAGGAAAUGAAUAUGCUUGUCCACAAAAAAGAAAGAAACCAGACACAAAAUAGUGUAUAUGCAAGAUUCCAUUUCUGUGUAUAAUAUAUACAAACACAUAUACAUUCAUAUAUAUUCAUAGUAUGACCAAUCUAUGGUGGAAAAAAGAAUGGUGGCUACCUCUACGAAGGUGAAAAUGGGAAUUAACAAGAAAAGGAAACUGCGGAAGUGUCAGGAGUUUGGGUUACACAAGUGUAUCUGUUAAGAAUGUAUACUUAAUAUUUGUAUUUUUCAUUGAAAUUUUAUCAAAGAAAAAACUAAACAAAUAUUGAACAAUGGAGAAAAGACAAUCUCUUCAAUAAGUAUUACUGGGAAAACUGGACAACUG